rnacentral:lncRNA from 1 species
AUGACGCGAUGAACGAUGUCAUGAUGAGUUGAUACAUGACGUCAUGACGUGGCAACAUGUUCCCACAUAAAUCGAGUAUUUUCUCCCAGUUAAACUCUGCUAUAUUUUCCUAGUUGAACUAUAAUUAAUUUAAGAAUAUUUUAGUCAUAUUAGGACUUUAAUAUUAUCCUAUUUCAAGGGUCUUUGUAACCCUAUUUUUGAGAGUUGAUAGAAUAUCUCUUAUGUGAGCUUUGAUCAAGAGUUCUAAGGGGAGUUUUUUUAGAGAGCUUUGUAUUCAGGUUUUAGGUUUUACUUAUUUAGGUUUAUUUUCU